AGUGAACGCUGGCGGUAGGCCUAACACAUGCAAGUCGAACGGCAGCACAGUAAGAGCUUGCUCUUACGGGUGGCGAGUGGCGGACGGGUGAGGAAUACAUCGGAAUCUACUUUUUCGUGGGGGAUAACGUAGGGAAACUUACGCUAAUACCGCAUACGACCUACGAGUGAAAGCAGGGGAUCUUCGGACCUUGCGCGAUUGAAUGAGCCGAUGUCGGAUUAGCUAGUUGGCGGGGUAAAGGCCCACCAAGGCGACGAUCCGUAGCUGGUCUGAGAGGAUGAUCAGCCACACUGGAACUGAGACACGGUCCAGACUCCUACGGGGGGCAGCAGUGGGGAAUAUUGGACAAUGGGCGCAAGCCUGAUCCAGCCAUACCGCGUGGGUGAAGAAGGCCUUCGGGUUGUAAAGCCCUUUUGUUGGGAAAGAAAAGCAGCAGGUUAAUACCCCGCUGUUCUGACGGUACCCAAAGAAUAAGCACCGGCUAACUUCGUG
rnacentral:rRNA from 1 species